rnacentral:rRNA from 1 species
AGCGAACGCUGGCGGCAUGCCUAACACAAGCAAGUCGAACGAGACCUUCGGGUCUAGUGGCGCACGGGUGCGUAACGCGUGGGAACCUGCCCUUAGGUUCGGAAUAACUCCCCGAAAGGGGUGCUAAUACCGGAUAAUGUCUUCGGACCAAAGAUUUAUCGCCUUUGGAUGGGCCCGCGUUGGAUUAGCUAGUUGGUAGGGUAAAAGCCUACCAAGGCGACGAUCCAUAGCUGGUCUGAGAGGAUGAUCAGCCACACUGGGACUGAGACACGGCCCAGACUCCUACGGGAGGCAGCAGUGGGGAAUAUUGGACAAUGGGCGAAAGCCUGAUCCAGCAAUGCCGCGUGAGUGAUGAAGGCCUUAGGGUUGUAAAGCUCUUUUACCCGGGAUGAUAAUGACAGUACCGGGAGAAUAAGCUCCGGCUAACUCCGUG